rnacentral:lncRNA from 1 species
GUGCAUAGUUCAAAAGUACUGGACUCAGCAAACAGUCUUCCAGAAAGAUCCACUAUGCUGUGGGACAAUUACCAGACAGACUUCAUUUUAAGUAGAAAGUGGCCCCUAGGCUGGGUCCUAGCAGUGUACAGUGGUGCCUCAAGUGGUGGAAAAAAGGUGGGUGGGGAGGGAGGGAGAGAGAGAGAGAGAGAGAGAAGAAACUAGUUUUCAAAUUCAGGGCUGAUGAUCACUGCUACACAUAAGAACCUAGGAAAGUUCCUGUGUAGUUUAUUUAUAGGCACUGAGUACGAUAUCAUCCAAUGUGGGAGGAAAGCAUUUACUAGGUUUCCCAGAUUCCCAUGUUUCUGUGUACUGACAAUUAAAUUUCUGUUCUUUCCUCCAUUUCUAUAAACUGUGAAGGGCUCCAUUGAGGUAAAGGGUAAAACCCCCCUCAGGAAGGCUUCCUGAGUCAACUCAGCCCAGCCUGGAGCUGACUAAGCCUCCAAACUGAGUGACCAGUUUAUUCUGGUUUCCAGGACUCACCAUAUUUUAGCACCAAAAGUCAUAAGUUCUAGAGACCCUUUUUUUCUCAGGCAAACCAGGGCAGUUGAUCACUUUGACCUCCGGCUAACCCUGUGCCACAGACUUGGUGACAGCCAGAUGUCCUGUCUUAGAGAAUCAGUUAAAAACCUCAUUCAUCCCUCAUUGUUAUACAAAAUUACAUAUAAGAGGAUGUAAGGGGAAAGGGAAAAAUAAAAACAAGGGAGAGAAAUGAAUUACAGUAGAU